CACGUAGGGUGCAAGCGUUGUCCGGAAUUAUUGGGCGUAAAGAGCUCGUAGGCGGUUUGUCGCGUCUGCUGUGAAAACUCGGGGCUUAACUCCGGGCCUGCAGUGGGUACGGGCAGACUAGAGUGCGGUAGGGGAGACUGGAAUUCCUGGUGUAGCGGUGAAAUGCGUAGAUAUCAAGAGGAACACCUGCGGCGAAGGCGGGUUGCUGGGCCGACACUGACGCUGAUGCGCGAAAGCCAGGGGAGCGAACGGG
rnacentral:rRNA from 1 species